CACCCUCCAUCAGAAUGUCGACUCUGUGAGGACAGGCAUUUUGUUCAAUUAAUAUCUCCUCAUAAAAGGCGCUCAAUAAAUAUUUAUUGUAUUCAGUCAUCAAUCACUGAAAUCCAGAACAAGGGGAAGUAAAACCUAUUGAUACCGAGAAAUGACAGAACUUGUAGAAAUGAAUAUGUCUGGACCCAGAGGUUAAGAAUAUAACUAAGCAGGUUAUCUUUUCUGGCUGAAGUCAGGAAGAGGGAGAAAGAUGCAAAGUCUGACAAGAGUUGGACCUGCCAUUGCUGGCUUUGAAGAUGAAGGAGAGGCCCUGAGCCAAAGAAUGUGGAUGGCCUUUGGAACUUAGGAAUGGGGAAAUGAGGAUCUCAGUUCUACAACCUCCAAGAACUAAAUUCUGCCAGCAACCUAAAUGAGCAAGUAAACAGAUUCUCUACAAGAGUCUCUAGGAAGGAACUCAGUGCUUUGAACAUGUACAUUUUAGCUCAAUGAGACCUAUGCUGCACUUACCAUCUCCACCCUGUCAGAUGAUACAUCUGGGUUAUUUGAAGUCACUAAGUGUGUGACAUUUGCCACAGCAGCCAACAGAAAUCUGUUGAGCCUAGUUUCUGGGAGGUGCAAGGCACUGAGUGACUCAUUGGGACCUGCUGAGUCAUUAGAGAGAGUGCCUGAGGGACAGAGGCCAGACUGCAACUUAAGCUAUCUGGAAUCUUACCUCUGCUGUCUUACUGGCUGUCUACAUGGGGCUACAUUUUAACUAUGGCUUACAGAAAUCAUUGCCUGUCAACAGCCUCCACCCCCACCUCCCCACCCCCACUCUUGGGAAUGGACUCUGACAAACUCACCAUCAGGAAAGUUGAUGUUUCCCAUCUAGGAUGGAAGAAUGGGAUUCUGAACUUUGUCACUGUUUCUGAAACGUCAUCAGCUCCUGUAAUUGCAUGGUUGGGACAGAUCUAUUUAAAUUGCUUUGAAGUUUUCCCAGGAAAUUCCCACAAAAUUGUGCAACCCAAGGAAUUGAGGUGGAAAAAAUGGCACUGGCAUCAAUUUGCUUCUCACCACGACCUUGUGAAGGAGGCAGGUAGCCACUCAUAUUUAUGAUUUAAAAAAUGAGGGAUCAACAAUUAAAGGGGUAACAGUUCUAGGUGCUUGGACUAUUAGUUUUAUCAAAAACACAGUCGGUAUAGGUUCAUUGACAGCUGGCAUUCAUCAUCUGAAAUUAGAUCCCCCUUUGAAAUUAUUCUUUCUCUCAUUUUCCUUGCUUUUACAUAGAAGUUUUUUCUUUUUUUUUUCUGUAAAUAGUUAGAUAAUGGCAUGGGAUGACACUGCAAAUAGGCAAUAUACCAUACAAUCAAUUCCAUGUAUUAAUUCCAGAACAGUUUCCUCAUUAAUGGAAAUACAGGAUGCAUUCUGGUAUCAUUAUUGUUGACAUUUCUCUUUGCUUUUAUUAUAUUCAAUAAAAUAUUGUAUUCAACAGCUUACCUCAGAGAGAAGUUUGAUGAGAUUUGAUUGUCCUUUAGUUUUAUCUUUAUCACCAAGACAGGACCCAAAACCUGUCUUCCUCCUAGUGUGGCAGGGCUGUUGCAAUGAAGCACACAGACAACAAACACAUCUUUCUAAAGCUCUCCUUCAUCUGAAAGUAAAGAUGACAACUUGAUAUGAAUAAAACC
rnacentral:lncRNA from 10 species